rnacentral:rRNA from 1 species
UACGAAGGUGGCAAGCGUUGUUCGGAUUUACUGGGCGUACAGGGAGCGUAGGCGGUUCGGUAAGCCCUCUGUGAAAUCUCCAGGCUUAACCUGGAACAGUCGGAGGGGACUGCUGGGCUAGAGGACGGGAGAGGAGCGCGGAAUUCCGGGUGUAGCGGUGGAAUGUGUAGAGAUCGGGAGGAACACCGGUGGCGAAGGCGGGUCUCUGGGCAUUUCCUGACGCUGAGGCACGAAAGCGUGGGGAGCAAACAGG